AAGAGGAAGAGGCGCUGAAGAAAACCUAAGUUCCAGUUCGCCAUUUUUGGCUACCCCCACCGUCUCAAGAAUGUACAAGCUUUUUGAAAGCAGCUUUGCUGUAACUUUGAGCUUUUUAAACGACAUUCGUCGCGCGUCGCUCACUCGGGAGGGUAGCAAAUUAUCAAAUUUAGCGAGAAAAGUAAAGAAAAAAAGCCGGCAUCAUGGACGCGAUCAAGAAGAAGAUGCAAGCGAUGAAGCUUGAGAAAGACAAUGCACAGGACAAAGCUGAUACCUGUGAAGGACAGGCCAAGGAGGCAAACCUCCGUGCCGACAAAGUUAUGGAGGAGGUUAAUGAGCUGACUAAAAAAUUAGCUCAAGUAGAAUCUGAUCUUACAACCAACAAGGGAAAUUUGGAGAGGGGAAACAAAGAUCUUGAAGAGAAAGAAAAAGCACUCACUAAUGCUGAAGCUGAAGUAGCAGCUUUGAAUAGAAAAGUACAGUUGAUUGAAGAAGAUUUGGAACGGUCUGAAGAACGUCUUAACACCGCUUCUGCUAAAUUGACGGAAGCUUCUCAAGCCGCUGAUGAAUCUAGCCGUAUGUGCAAAGUAUUGGAAAACCGUGCCCAGCAAGAUGAAGAGAGAAUGGAUCAAUUGACAAAUCAAUUAAAAGAAGCGCGUUUACUAGCUGAAGAUGCUGAUGGUAAAUCUGAUGAAGUUUCCCGUAAGCUCGCGUUUGUUGAAGACGAACUUGAGGUUGCUGAGGACCGUGUCAAAUCUGGUGAAGCAAAAAUUAUGGAGUUGGAAGAAGAACUUAAAGUCGUCGGAAACAGUUUGAAAUCACUCGAAGUCUCUGAAGAGAAGGCUAAUCAAAGAGUUGAAGAAUUCAAACGUCAACUGAAAACUUUGACGGUUAAACUAAAAGAAGCUGAAGCUCGUGCCGAAUUCGCAGAAAAGACUGUCAAGAAAUUGCAGAAAGAAGUCGAUAGGCUCGAAGACGACUUGAUACACCAAAAGGAAAAGCACAAAGCUAUUGUUGAUGAUUUGGAUUCUACAUACGCUGAGCUUACGGCCUAUUAAAUUAAUCACAUUUACAAGCACAGUUACACUAACUUACAUUUAGAUAUUUAAAAGUUUGAAAAUUUUAAAUAUUUAUUUUUAAACGUUUUGAAAAUUAAUAAAAUCAAACAUUAUUGAUAUUUUGUGUGGAAAAAUUAGUACACUGACGAUAAAAGGCUUAAGCUUGGCGUAAAAUAUCUCAAGACGAACUUGGAAUCAACAAGGACAGAUACAAGUCAUUGGCUGACGAGAUGGACUCGACAUUCGCCGAGUUGGCUGGAUACUAAUGAAAAUUCAGGAAAU